UGGGGAAUAUUGCACAAUGGGGGAAACCCUGAUGCAGCAACGCCGCGUGAGUGAUGAAGGUCUUCGGAUUGUAAAGCUCUGUCUUCGGGGACGAUAAUGACGGUACCCGAGGAGGAAGCCACGGCUAACUACGUGCCAGCAGCCGCGGUAAUACGUAGGUGGCAAGCAUUAUCCGGAUUUACUGGGCGUAAAGGGUGCGUAGGCGGAUUUUUAAGUGAGAUGUGAAAUACCCGGGCUCAACCUGGGGGCUGCAUUUCAAACUGGAAAUCUAGAGUGCAGGAGAGGAAAGUGGAAUUCCUAGUGUAGCGGUGAAAUGCGUAGAGAUUAGGAAGAACACCAGUGGCGAAGGCGACUUUCUGGACUGUAACUGACGCUGAGGCACGAAAGCGUGGGGAGCAAACA
rnacentral:rRNA from 2 species